rnacentral:rRNA from 1 species
AGCAGCCGCGGUAAUUCCAGCUCCAAUAGCGUAUAUUAAAGUUGUUGCAGUUAAAAAGCUCGUAGUUGAAUUUCGGGAUCAAUAUAACGGUCAUGCCGUUGGUAUGCACUGUUAUAAUUGGUUUCUCACCUUCUAAAGAACCGUAAUGCCAUUAAUUUGGUGUCACGGGGAAUUAGGACUGUUACCUUGAAAAAUUAGAGUGUUUAAAGCAGGCUCACGCUUGAAUACAUUAGCAUGGAAUAAUGAAAUAGGACAUCCGAUUCUAUUUUGUUGGUUUCUAGGAUCGAUGUAAUGAUUAAUAGGGAUAGUUGGGGGCAUUAGUAUUCAAUUGUCAGAGGUGAAAUUCUUGGAUUUAUUGAAGACUAACUACUGCGAAAGCAUUUGCCAAGGAUGUUUUCAUUAAUCAAGAACGAAAGUUAGGGGAUCGAAGACGAUCAGAUACCGUCGUAG